rnacentral:rRNA from 1 species
ACUCCUGCGGGAGGCAGCAGUGGGGAAUUUUGGACAAUGGGCGAAAGCCUGAUCCAGCAAUGCCGCGUGAGUGAAGAAGGCCUUCGGGUUGUAAAGCUCUUUUGUCAGGGAAGAAACGGUGAGAGCUAAUAUCUCUUGCUAAUGACGGUACCUGAAGAAUAAGCACCGGCUAACUACGUGCCAGCAGCCGCGGUAAUACGUAGGGUGCAAGCGUUAAUCGGAAUUACUGGGCGUAAAGCGUGCGCAGGCGGUUUUGUAAGUCUGAUGUGAAAUCCCCGGGCUCAACCUGGGAAUUGCAUUGGAGACUGCAAGGCUAGAAUCUGGCAGAGGGGGGUAGAAUUCCACGUGUAGCAGUGAAAUGCGUAGAUAUGUGGAGGAACACCGAUGGCGAAGGCAGCCCCCUGGGUCAAGAUUGACGCUCAUGCACGAAAGCGUGGGGAGCAAACAGGAUUAGAAACCCGUGUAGUCCCAUGAU